UGAUAAAUCGAUGCAGUUGAUCUAAAGAGCAAGCAUAAGCAAAAACUUAAGAUAGCGAAUUUGUUUAACCAAGUAUUAGAGAUCUGUUGAGCUCUUUGAAGAUAAUCAUGAGUGUGAAGCUAAAAGUCAUUGCACCAUUGCAAACACGGAUGAUAUCUACGAGGUUGUGGCAGUUGUUGGCUUCAAGCGAAAAAGGCUUGAGAUCUCACAUGAUGUCUAACCACUUGGUCAAUCUAAUUCUUGUUUGUCUUCUGGUUGCAUACCCCCACUUCCUUUUGUGGUUCAGGAUAAGUAUUUUGAGACUAGAUAACUUAGCACCAAAAGCAUUAUUAAAAGAGGGUGAGGAGAUAGAAUAUUUUUAUGUAAAAAAAUUGAAGCUAUAUAAUAAUGGUUUUCU